rnacentral:rRNA from 1 species
UGGGGAAUAUUGGACAAUGGGCGCAAGCCUGAUCCAGCCAUGCCGCGUGAGUGACGAAGGCCUUAGGGUUGUAAAGCUCUUUCGGCGGGGAAGAUAAUGACGGUACCCGCAGAAGAAGCCCCGGCUAACUCUGUGCCAGCAGCCGCGGUAAUACAGAGGGUGCGAGCGUUAAUCGGAAUUACUGGGCGUAAAGCGCACGUAGGUGGCGACGUAAGUCGGGUGUGAAAGCCCCGGGCUCAACCUGGGAACCGCAUUCGAGACUGCGUUGCUGGAGUACGGAAGAGGAGGGCGGAAUUCCCGGUGUAGCGGUGAAAUGCGUAGAUAUCGGGAGGAACAUCAGUGGCGAAGGCGGCCCUCUGGUCCAGUACUGACACUCAAGUGCGAAAGCGUGGGGAGCAAACAGGAUUAGAUACCCCCGUAGUCCCUGAGCGGGCUGGCAAGGCGCAU